GCUUCCUGAGAAUGAAUCUGGGGCCAGAGCAGGGACCUGGGGAACAGCAGGGUGUGAGAAUGGAGGUGGCAGGUUCAGGACCAUGAUGGACAGACUGAGGAUCAACUGGGGUUUGGUAGACACCGUCUGUGCUCAGCCAAGUAGCUCUCCUCGGAGCUGUAAGACACCCAGGAUUGACUCCUAGCUGUAUAACAGCAGGUGCAGUGGCUCAUGCCUGCAAUCCCAGGACUUUGGGAGGCCAAGGCCGGCAGAUCA